GGUUCGCACCUGUACGGCUGGCGAGUAGGGCAGAUUCUAUCAGAGGAACACGAUUGCAGGCAAGUCUAAUCCCAGUCUUAGGCCUUAAAAUUGUGUAGAUGUGUGUUUCUUUGAAGUGAUCCGAAAUAUUAGUGGAAAAAGGCAAUAUCUUUCGAAAGAUAAAGGAUUUGGAAGUUUUUUUAGUCGUUUCUGCGGCCAGACAGCCAGUCAGCCGUAAUAUCUAUCUGUCUUGAGUGGGUACAGUGCAUAGUGAUGCAGGCAAACAGUUUUUGGUGUUUGUAUAGAGUGAUCCGAAAUAGAGGUAGAACACGAUCAUAUUUUUUUUAGAAGUUGAAGACACUAGUGUUAUAAAAAUGAUAUUAUUUCCAUUGUUUGAACGGCCCAACGGCCAGCCAUAUUUUCGGCCGGUUUGUAAACAGGACCGACCCAAUGGAUAUUCAUAUAUACGGACAUGCAUAUACACAGAAAUAAAUGCUUAUCUUUCUAUCUCAUAGGUAUACACUUAUCUGUCUAUCUAUUCGGUAAAUAUGCAUGUCGAGUCAGGUACAGUGUAAAGUGUUCCAGGCAGAAGUCUUAUAAUUCAUUCAUGAAAUACACCCUGGAGCUUGCCCCUGCUUAUCUUUGUUUUAACAGAAGAUUCUAGAUCUCUAUGGCGUCGCGUGAUACAAUGAGCCAAACGUUUUGGUCCAGACCGAACGCGUUUCGUUCCUGUGCGGCUGACGGGUGGGGCAGCUCGCCAGUCCCGUUCACACCAACGCAUUGGGAGUAAG